rnacentral:lncRNA from 1 species
GCCAUUUCUCCUCCCAUUCCCCUUUGUCUCCCCAUUCCCUCUCCCCUCUUCCCCUUAUCUCCCCUCUGCCUUCUAUAAUCCAAUUCCCCUUUGUCUCCUCAUUCCCUCUCUCCUUCUAUACUCUCUGUGCUCUCCCAUUUCGUUCUGUUCUAGAGAAGGGCUUCAUCCUCACCGUUUCUAUCUUUUUGGUUUUUUUUUUAAAAAUCGACUCUGUCUCUUGGGGAGAAAAUUUGGGGGUGGACUUGGGAUUCUGCGAAUUUAGUGUCGUCUACAUCCGUAGAAGGCAAGAUCGAAAAAGCUUCGGACAAUCCAAUUCGGUGUCCAGUCCCAAGACCAAGAAAUCCCGUCGAAUCUUAUAUUAGCUUGUGUGGUUGGGGAAGAAAUGUAGAAUUAAAUUUCAUAUUUUGGUGUCAUUCUUGGAUGCAAUGACUGCCUGGAGAAAAUGAAAAAUGGGUGUUUGUUGAUUUACAUUGGAUUGAUGGGGAGGAUUGCAGAGAUUGGGGGGGUGGUUGUGGGUGUGGCGGCUGGGGCGGGUUCUGGUGGUUUUUUUUUUUCAUUUAUUUAUUAUUUAUUGGUUUUUUGAUUAUUGGGCAUUUCAGUUUUUAAAUUUUCUGAUUUUUAUAGUAUU